ensembl:snRNA U6 U6 spliceosomal RNA
CCUGAUGUGCACUCUCUUCAGGAGCUAAACAUCGGAGCAACAGAGUAGAGUAGCAUGGCCUCUGCAAAAAUAUGACAAGCAAAUUCAUAAAGCAUUCCCUAUCUCU